UUUUUGUGACUACUUGCAGCACGUUAGAAGAGCUAGAAUUUUAACGUUCUGCCAAAACCAAUGAACAAAGGGAUAGUCUCAUGUAGACAACUUUUAUUGGGUGUAUGGCUCCAAAAGAUAACGGAGCUUGCAAAGGUUUUCUUGGGUCAGUCGGAGAUUGGCCCUUGAGUGCAAAGGCUGAAGGGAGUUUGACUACAAAACUCCGUGUCAAGCAGGGACAAAAGUUGGCCUUAAUGAUCCAAUGAUGUCGACUGGAAGAGCCGUUGCUCAACAGAUAAAAGUUACUUGAGGGAUAAUAGGUGGAUCAUACCCAAGAGCUCACAUUGACGAGAAGGUUUGAGACUUCGAUAUCGGCUCUUUACCAUUUGAGGUUGUUGUAUGUUCCAGGUGUUGGGUUGUUUGUCCAUUAAAGUGGUACGCAAGCUGGGUUCGAUGCAUAUCCGGU
rnacentral:ncRNA from 1 species